rnacentral:rRNA from 1 species
CUACGGGGGGCUCCAGUGGGGAAUAUUGCACAAUGGGGGAAACCCUGAUGCAGCGACGCCGCGUGAAGGAUGAAGGAUUUCGGUUCGUAAACUUCUAUCAGCAGUGAAGAUAGUGACUGUACCUGACUAAGAAGCCCCGGCUAACUACGUGCCAGCAGCCGCGGUAAUACGUAGGGGGCAAGCGUUAUCCGGAAUUACUGGGUGUAAAGGGUGCGUAGGCGGCUGAUUAAGCCAGAGGUGAAAGCCCGGGGCUCAACCUCGGGACUGCAUUUGGAACUGGUCGGCUAGAAUACAGGAGAGGUAAGUGGAAUUCCUAGUGUAGCGGUGAAAUGCGUAGAUAUUAGGAGGAACACCAGUGGCGAAGGCGACUUACUGGACUGUUAUUGACGCUGAGGCACGAAAGCGUGGGGAGCGAACAGGAUUAGAUACCCCCGUAGUC